UACGGGGGGGAGCAAGCGUUGUUCGGAUUUACUGGGCGUAAAGGGCGCGUAGGCGGCGUGACAAGUCACUUGUGAAAUCUCCGGGCUUAACCCGGAGCGGUCAAGUGAUACUGUCGUGCUAGAGUGCGGAAGGGGCUACUGGAAUUCUCGGUGUAGCGGUGAAAUGCGUAGAUAUCGAGAGGAACACCUGCGGCGAAGGCGGGUAGCUGGGCCGACACUGACGCUGAUGCGCGAAAGCCAGGGGAGCGAACGGG
rnacentral:rRNA from 1 species